rnacentral:pre_miRNA from 1 species
AGGGGGAACAACAACAGUGGCAGGGGCCAGCUCUGGAACCCUGGAGUCAACUCUUGCAGUAACUAAAGAGCUCUCAGUCUGCAGGGGCCUGGAUACUCAGGGGGCGG